AUUGAACGCUGGCGGCAUGCCUUACACGUGCAAGUCGAACGGUAACAGGUUAAGCUGACGAGUGGCGAGCGGGUGAGUAAUGUAUCGGAACGUGCCCAGUCGUGGGGGAUAACUGCUCGAAAGAGCAGCUAAUACCGCAUACGACCUGAGGGUGAAGGCGGGGGAUCGCAAGACCUCGCGCGAUUGGAGCGGCCGAUAUCAGAUUAGGUAGUUGGUGAGGUAAAGGCUCACCAAGCCGACGAUCUGUAGCUGGUCUGAGAGGACGACCAGCCACACUGGGACUGAGACACGGCCCAGACUCCUACGGGAGGCAGCAGUGGGGAAUUUUGGACAAUGGGGGCAAGCCUGAUCCGGCCAUGCCGCGGGCGGGAAGAAGGCCUCCGGGUUGUAAACCGCUUUUGUCAGGGAAGAAAAGGUUCUGGCUAAUACCUGGGACUCAUGACGGUACCUGAAGAAUAAGCACCGGCUAACUACGUGCCAGCCGCCGCCGUAAGAC
rnacentral:rRNA from 1 species